UACGUAGUUAGCCGGUGCUUAUUCAUAAGUUACCGUCAUAUUCUUCACUUAUAAAAGCAGUUUACAACCCGAAGGCCUUCAUCCUGCACGCGGCGUUGCUCCAUCAGGCUUUCGCCCAUUGUGGAAGAUUCCUCACUGCUGCCUCCCGUAGGAGUCUGGACCGUGUCUCAGUUCCAGUCUGGCUGAUCAUCCUCUCAGACCAGCUAUAGAUCGUCGGCUUGGUGAGCCUUUACCUCACCAACUACCUAAUCUAACGCGGGCCGCUCCCAAAGCGGAUAAAUCCUUUAAUCCGAAGAUCAUAUGCGGCAUUAGACUCCAUUUCUGAAGCUUAUUCCUCACUUUGGGGCACGUUCCCACGCGUUACUCAGCCGUCCGCCGCUCGUCAUCAUUUCUCACAAUUCCCUCCUUAUAAAUAAGAAGAAGACAGUGAGAAACAUGUUACCGCUCGACUUGCAUGUGUUAGGCACGCCGCCAGCAUUCA
rnacentral:rRNA from 1 species